CCACAGGCCUGCCUGCCUGCCCCCAGGGGACCCUCCAACCCCCAGGCAACAUGGGACAGGCCUGCUUUAGUCCCCUGCCAGAUGCCUAUUGUGUGACUGGGACACUGGGCCUGGUCUGCUGGCCUGUUUUGACUGGCUGGCUUGCUGGCAGAUGGCUAACGUUACUGGAAGAAGUCUCAAGUGGGCUGGCUGCAAGACACAUACAGGCCAACCCAAGGCCCCUGACAGAGAGGGCACACUGGGUCUGUCGUGGGGGACUUGAGGACUUGGGGGGGAGAAGCAUCAAGCCACUGCUUUGUUGAGGCUUCUUUGUCGUUGUCCUUUUGGGAGGGGUUUAAUAUCCUCGCUUGUGUUACCUUCUGUGUUAAUAUUAUCAUUGUUAUUUCUUUUAAAUCAGGUUUAUAUAUGUAUGAUUAUGGAAUAUUUUAGGGCUGAUCUGUUGCACAGGUUUGAUUUGUUUUAAAUGGUUUUAAGGCGAUUAUUUGCUUUAAAAAUAUUCAAAAAUAACAAAUACAUUUUGACAGUGGUAUUGUGUACUAGCAUUAAAGGAUCCUCUAGCAUUAAAGGAUCCUCUAGCAUUAAAGGAUCCUCUAGCAUUAAAGGAUCCUCUAGCAUUAAAGGUUUGAGGUGUUGGUUGACUAGACUGAGGGGAGGUUUGAGGAGUUGGUUGACUAGACUAAGAGGGAAGGUUUGAGGAGUUGGUUGACUAGACUAAGAGGGACGGUUUGAGGAGUUGGUUGACUAGACUAAGAGGGAAGGUUUGAGGAGUUGGUUGACUAGACUAAGAGGGAAGGUUUGAGGAGUUGGUUGACUAGACUAAGAGGGAAGGUUUGAGGAGUUGGUUGACUAGACUAAGAGGGAAGGUUUGAGGAGUUGGUUGACCUGACGAAGAGGGAAGGUUUGAGGAGUUGGUUGACUAGACUAAGAGGGAAGGUUUGAGGAGUUGGUUGACUAGACUAAGAGGGAAGGUUUGAGGAGUUGGUUGACUAGACUAAGAGGGAAGGUUUGAGGAGUUGGUUGACUAGACUAAGAGGGAAGGUUUGAGGAGUUGGUUGACUAGACUAAGAGGGAAGGUUUGAGGAGUUGGUUGACUAGACUAAGAGGGAAGGUUUGAGGAGUUGGUUGACUAGACUAAGAGGGAAGGUUUGAGGUGUUGGUUGACCUGACGAAGAGGGAAGGUUUGAGGAGUUGGUUGACUAGACUAAGAGGGAAGGUUUGAGGAGUUGGUUGACUAGACUAAGAGGGAAGGUUUGAGGAGUUGGUUGACUAGACUAAGAGGGAAGGUUUGAGGAGUUGGUUGACUAGACUAAGAGGGAAGGUUUGAGGAGUUGGUUGACCUGACGAAGAGGGAAGGUUUGAGGUGUUGGUUGACUAGACUAAGAGGGAAGGUUUGAGGAGUUGGUUGACCUGACGAAGAGGGAAGGUUUGAGGAGUUGGUUGACUAGACUAAGAGGGAAGGUUUGAGGAGUUGGUUGACUAGACUAAGAGGGAAGGUUUGAGGAGUUGGUUGACUAGACUAAGAGGGAAGGUUUGAGGAGUUGGUUGACUAGACUAAGAGGGAAGGUUUGAGGAGUUGGUUGACUAGACUAAGAGGGAAGGUUUGAGGAGUUGGUUGACUAGACUAAGAGGGAAGGUUUGAGGAGUUGGUUGACCUGACGAAGAGGGAAGGUUUGAGGUGUUGGUUGACCUGACGAAGAGGGAAGGUUUGAGGUGUUGGUUGACCUGACGAAGAGGGAAGGUUUGGCUAGAAGGAAGAAUCAUAGACGUGGUCGGUUUGAAGUCAGUCAGAAGAGUGGCCUUGUCAUCUAUAAUAAUACAUUUAUGGAGUUGCGUCCUGUUUUAAAAAUGAAGGCUGGGAGGUAGAGAGUGCUUGUUGAGACGGAGUGGCCGAAUUUGAGUUUAUUAUUUCUUGCAAAAUGAAAUGUAGCUCCUUUAAGAGGAGGAAGAAACAAGCAUGAUAAAAUCCUUCUUCAAAUGGUCUCCUGUUCACGCAGCCAUUUUGCAAG